CAGGCUGUGCCAGUGGGAAGCAGGCUCCUCUGCUGGCCAAGGGAUGGGCUGACGUGAGGCUGGAGGAAUGCACCCCCCCACCCCAUGUUGUCCUCGAGUGGUUUCCUCCCUGCCCUCACAGGGUUGGCAGGGAGGUGCUGGGUCACCUUCAGAACACAGGCCCAGCAGAGGAAGACCUUCUCCAUGAAAGGCCUUAGCAGAAACCAGCCCGGCCAGCACCUGGAUCUCAGACUUCCAGCAUCCAGAACUGAGAAAUAAAUGUCGUUUAAGCCA